UUCACUAUUCAACCCCAAUCGUAUGUUUACAAAUUAUUACAAACCAGUAUCCUAUGAGUUACAGUAAAUAAGAACAAAAUAAGAAGCUAUUCUAUAGGGAGCCUUCAAUCAGGCCCAAUCUUCCAACCUCAACCCCUUCGAGUUCACAUCCUUUGCCAUGGUGUAGGUGCGGCAGAUCUCCCUAGGGCCCUAUUGGGUCCCUGGUCAAUAUCAGUACCAAGACAUUUUAGAAAAAUUGCAGGCCAUUUGCAGAUGGAAUAUCAGCCUUUUGUGUCAAAGUUCAGUGAGUGCUCAGAGGUACUCAAAGCAGUGCUCACACGAAGGGGGCGGAACCUAUUCUCUAAGAGUAGUGUGAAGUGCAGGAAGAAAAGUUUUCAAAAAAUAAAGGGGGUUUGUUUCAAAAGAAAACAUCAGAGACAAUAGUUUAAUAGCAUAAUAGUGCAUACAAUGAUCAUAGGAGAAAGGGAGCAAACAGAUCACAAUUUUAAAGAUGACUACACUGAAUAAGAAGAUUCAGGGGACCAAGUAUUGGUCGGGCUUAAACAUAAGUCUUAGAAAACAACAUGGGAACAAUCAUGACAUGCAAACCAAGAAAGACAUACAGAGUGCCAAGGAUCAGGGGAACUGGGAAGUGGUUAGUUUAGGCAUGCUAAUGUAUAGCAAGAGGACAUAAGCAUAGCAAGGAAUAGACAAAGUCAAACUUAGCAUGUAAAUCAGAAGACAUGGUGAAGUAUUCAAAGCAAAGAAUCAAUUACACUUUGAACAGGAGAAGCAUAAGUAGAAGAAAAUCACAAAGAUAAUGAACUGAAGCAAAAAUAAAUACAUUGGUGUGAGACUUGAAAAUUAAUUAGGACAUUCCAGCAAAAGAGCAAAAGCAAGAUGCAAGGACAAAGUAGUAACACUAUAUUAGCCUUGGCUUUCAACCGGCUAAUAAUAAGAAGGAGCAGAGAAUAGCAAUAGAGCCAAAGAGCAAGAGAGAAUGCAGAUUUUUUGAAAGUAUCAGUGGUGGUUGUAAGUCAGAAGACUUCUCUCUGUCUUUUGUGUGAAAGACUUAGGGUAUUUAUAGUUGAAAGUAGGUGGUAAAAAAAUAAGGCAAAAAAUCAUAGAAGUAUGUUAAUUUAAGAACUCAUAAUCAAUUAAUUAGUCAAUCAAGGAAGUACUCCCUUUAAUUAAGGGAAUCAAAAUCAGACGAAAAAAUUCAGCACGAUAUAAGGCAAGUAGAAAAUCAGUGUAGGACUAAAUAUGGAAGGAGUCAAGGUACAGUAUUGUAUAUAGUAGUCAGUUAGGUCCACAUUCACGAAAAAUCUAAUUAAGAAAAGGCUAAUUAGGAUAGAGUACUAUAGCAAAUAAGGUAACAAAAAUCAAUUAAUUUAAAACAGGCGACUAGAAUGCUGGAGUUUUGAAAGAAAAUUUUGAAUUGCCAGUCAAUCAAGAGAACUCAGAAUCAAUCGUGCAAAGUCAUGAUUCUGUAUUCUCAACAUAUAAAUGGAGGUGAAUGAACAAGAGUAACAAACAAAAUUGGCCAUAUAGCGCAACGAUCCAGAGUAGCGAGUAAAAAUUAGCCAGGAAGGAACAAGAGAUGAACAAACACAAUCAGUCAGAGAUAGUGAAAACAAGUUAGGAUUCAGCAGGACAUAUUCGAAGCACGGUGACCAUGAAACAUUAAGAAGAGUCAAGAAAAUAGGCUAGCAAACAGAACUAAAACAAGGAGAAUCAGGCUAAUACACACAAUCAAAAGAAGAAAUGUGCUAAUAAACAGAGAAAAGGCACAGGAAAUUAUGCUAACAUGUAUAAUCGAAGAAAAGAAUCAUGCUAACACACAUAAUCAAAUGAAGAAACAUUUUCUGGAAAUUAUGGUUUUUAGCAGAGUCAGACUAAAAAAAUC
rnacentral:lncRNA from 1 species